rnacentral:rRNA from 1 species
GACAGAGGGUGCAAACGUUGUUCGGAAUUACUGGGCGUAAAGCGCACGUAGGCGGCUUUGUAAGUUAGAGGUGAAAGCCCGGAGCUCAACUCCGGAAUUGCCUUUAAGACUGCAUCGCUCGAAUCAUGGAGAGGUGAGUGGAAUUCCGAGUGUAGAGGUGAAAUUCGUAGAUAUUCGGAAAGAACACCAGUGGCGAAGGCGACUCACUGGACAUGUAUUGACGCUGAGGUGCGAAAGCGUGGGGAGCAAACAGGG